AAGCGGUGGUUGUUUUGUUUCACUAUGAACUGAAAGUAGGGCAAAAUUAUCACCGAUUAG
rnacentral:pre_miRNA from 1 species